AACGAACGCUGGCGGCAUGCCUAACACAUGCAAGUCGAACGAGACCUUCGGGUCUAGUGGCGCACGGGUGCGUAACGCGUGGGAACCUGCCCUUAGGUUCGGAAUAACUCCCCGAAAGGGGUGCUAAUACCGGAUAAUGUCUUCGGACCAAAGAUUUAUCGCCUUUGGAUGGGCCCGCGUUGGAUUAGCUAGUUGGUAGGGUAAAAGCCUACCAAGGCGACGAUCCAUAGCUGGUCUGGGAGGAUGAUCAGCCACACUGGGACUGAGACACGGCCCAGACUCCUACGGGAGGCAGCAGUGGGGAAUAUUGGACAAUGGGCGAAAGCCUGAUCCAGCAAUGCCGCGUGAGUGAUGAAGGCCUUAGGGUUGUAAAGCUCUUUUACCCGGGAUGAUAGUGACAGUACCGGGAGAAUAAGCUCCGGCUAACUCCGUG
rnacentral:rRNA from 1 species